AGGUGGCAUUCGCUUGGCUGCGACUCUCAACCGCAUUUUUGCUUCUCAAAGCAAGAUAGCUCAAGUAUGAAGGAAAAAGGGAUAGAAAAGCAUCUUCAAUGUAUGACACAGAGGAGGGCCCACAUGACCAUUUUAUAUAUGGCAUAACCUCUCCAUUAACAAAAUAUCAUGUACCACCCAAUUAAUUAUCUAUUCCCCAUUUGCUAAUUCUGUUAAGCAUUCUUUAAUGUAUGACACAGAGGAGGGCCCACAUGACCAUUUUAUAUAUGGCAUAACCUCUCCAACAAAAUAUCAUGUACCACCCAAUUAAUUAUCUUCUCCCCAUUUGCUAAUUCUGUUAAGCAUUCUUUAAUGAGAAUACUUUAUAGUUAACUGUUGACUUCAUUCCAUAAUUAUAAUGGGAUGCCUUCUGUAUUUCAGAAUAU
rnacentral:lncRNA from 1 species